UAUAUGGGGGAUCUUUGUCUUUGUGUGUGAAAGUGACUGAGUGUGUGUGUGCACUUUGUGUACAGGGCACAUGAGGCGUCCUUAGAGAAACCAGACGGCCUGAGAAAGACCGCCCUAGCGACAAGGGCACAUGAGCCGGAGUCUGCAGAGAAAUUCGACGGUCUGAGCAAGAGGGCCCUAGAGACGAGGCUCUUGGAGAUACUGAACCCGAGCCCUCUGAACUACGAGAAGCACGACUUCCAACUGCAGGCGAGGUCGUGGAGGCGGGCCGCACGGCCCACCUGGGACGGGGUGGUCGCCCACUCGGCUCGGCCCUUCACCGCCUACCGCUCGCUGGACGCCGUGCCCUUCCCCGGCGACG